rnacentral:rRNA from 1 species
GACGAACGCUGGCGGCGUGCUUAACACAUGCAAGUCGAACGGAAAGGCCCUGCUUUUGUGGGGUGCUCGAGUGGCGAACGGGUGAGUAACACGUGAGUAACCUGCCCUUGACUUUGGGAUAACUUCAGGAAACUGGGGCUAAUACCGGAUAGGAGCUCCUGCUGCAUGGUGGGGGUUGGAAAGUUUCGGCGGUUGGGGAUGGACUCGCGGCUUAUCAGCUUGUUGGUGGGGUAGUGGCUUACCAAGGCCUUGACGGGUAGCCGGCCUGAGAGGGUGACCGGCCACAUUGGGACUGAGAUACGGCCCAGACUCCUACGGGAGGCAGCAGUGGGGAAUAUUGCACAAUGGGCGGAAGCCUGAUGCAGCAACGCCGCGUGCGGGAUGACGGCCUUCGGGUUGUAAACCGCUUUCGCCUGUGACGAAGCGUGAGUGACAGUAAUGGGUAAAGAAGCACCGGCUAACUACGUG